CUGGUGGUUGGAUUCUGAGAUUUACGUCAACCAGUUCCAUAUUACUUUAUAUUUCUUUCGAAUUCAAGAUAAUUGAUUAAAAUGAAAGAGUUUUUAUCGCUCAAAAGCGACACUGCCUAUGAUUGGGCAGAUGAAAGUUCCAUUGUGACAUUGAUUCUCACGUGCGACCCACUUUUGACACACCAACACACAAUUUACUGUGUUUUUUUGUUGUGUUUGUGUCUACCCCCCACCCCCCAAAACCACAAUGCCGUCUUGACCCCUUUUUUUUUCCAGAGAAAAUCGAAUCAGAUUCCUUCUGUUGUCCCUCUCUGUUCAGUGUUUUUUCUUGUUUUUUUGGUUUGAUUGAUUUUGAUGUCUUGGUGGGACAUGAUCAUAAUCCUAUGAUUUAUGUGGAACCAGAUUCUUGAUUUGGGGUUUGUGGAUUGGAAGUUGAUGAGUUAAAAGAUGGGAUUUUUGGCUUCUCAAAUAUUGUUCCAAAGGUCAAAACUUUAACUUGGUAUGCUCUUAUAUUAUUUCAGAAACCAGAUUCUUGAUUUGGGUUUUUGGCUGACUUAUAGUGGGAAUCAAUAAGUUGUCUCUGGUAGAUUUAUCAUUUGCUAGUUUAGUUAAAAGGGUGUCUGGAUAUUACAUUUUUGGUUGAUAAUUUGGGGUUUGAUUAGCUUAUGAAUGAAUAUUUUACACUACAUGUUGGCCUUUUCCUUGAUAAGAAUCCCUUGGAUAAUAUUGUGAUGUAGUUUGGAGAUGUAAGUGGAUCAAUUGUAUUGCUUGGACUAUAGCAUUGUUUUCUAGCGGGCCGCUAGUUGUAUUUGUUGUUGUAUUUGAGGGUAUGGAGUACCUUCCUGUUGAGGUGAUUGGGAACAUUUUGUCCCGUCUUGGAGCUGCGCGAGAUGUUGUGAUAGCAUCUUCAACUUGUCAAAAGUGGCGAGAGGCUUGGAGGAAUCAUCUUCAUACACUCAUGUUUAACUCGAAUGACUGGCCUGUUUAUCAUGAGCUCACAAGGAGCAGACUUGAGAUAAUCGUAACUCAGACAAUUUUCCAGACUAAUGGACUGCAUUGCCUUUCGAUCAUCAUGGAUGAUGUCGACGAGUUCUCUGCUGCUCCGGUAAUAGCUUGGCUAAUGUAUACCAGAGAAACGUUACGCCAGUUACAUUACAAUGUCAGGACUACCCCAAACAUUAAUAUACUCGAAAAAUGUGGUCGCCAGAGGCUAGAAGUGUUGGCUCUUGCACACAAUACAAUCACUGGUGUUGAACCUAGUUACCAAAAGUUCCCUUGCUUAAGGUCUCUUUCACUAAGUUAUGUUAGUAUAUCAGCUUUAGAUCUGAGUCUUUUCCUCACAGCAUGCCCGAAAGUUGAGGUCUUGAGUCUUGUUAGUAUAGACAUUGUUAUGUCUGAUCCACAGGCAACGAUGGAGCUGACAAGUAACUCGUUGAAAGAUAUCUAUGUUGAAGCCAUUAGUUUGGAUAAAAUCAUUCUGGAAGCGGAUAGUCUUGAGAAGCUGCAUUUGAAAGAUUGUACACUUGAGGUCUUUGAGCUUGUUAGCAAGGGCUCAUUGAGUCACCUUAAGAUUGAUGAUGUUAGUGUUAUCCAUCUUGAUAUUGGCGAGAGUGCUGAAGAUCUCGAGAUUGUGGAUGUCAGUAAUUUCACAAUCAUGUGGUCCAAGUUCCAUCACAUGAUAGCAAAAUCUUCGAAGCUGAAAAGACUGAGGCUAUGGGGAGUUGUGUUUGACGAUGAGGAUGAGGCUGUGGAUAUUGAGACGAUUUCCGCUUGCUUUCCACAAUUAAGUCAUCUAUCAUUGAGCUAUGAACUAAGAGAGACAGCACUUCAUUAUGGAUCGCAAGAUUCUUUUCAAUUGGAAAAUGUGACCGUCUUGGAGCUUGGAUGGAUGGUCAUUGGCGACCUGUUCUCCCAUUGGGUAGCAGGACUACUGGAAAGGUGCCCUAACCUGAGGAAGUUGGUAAUCUUCGGAGUCGUCUCAGAAACCAAAACACACGAAGAAUGCCAUACGUUAGCCAACUUCACAUCUUUUAUUGUAAAGCUUAUGAGGAAGUAUUUGCAUGUAGAUGUUCAGUUCGAAUAUGAAUAGAUUUUCAACAACUGCUGAUUCAAAAUUUUUCUUCAUCUCGAGAAGGGAAGGAGUGUUAAGAGAAGGUGUUUUGCUUUUUUUGUUUCAUUUUGUCUUUUCAACUUCUGGAUGGUACCUGAUGGGCGUAUAGGACGACAAAUAAGACUCCUGUGAGGAUGUUGCUGUACCGAUUUUUUUUUUAAGGAGGCAUUUGUAUUUGAUUGUUAUUUCAAGAAGGAGAAGCUCUGGCUAGUGAGGACGUAGUAAAAGAACAUGAAUCAUCGGUUUGUUGUAAGUUCCCUUACCAAAUUCUUUGUUGCUCGCAUUAUGUCUGCCUUUGAUUAAAGUUCUUCUGUUAUCAGCAAUUUAUGUGUCUCUUAGUUUUCUUCAUUGUUUAAUAUUACCAUGAGAUGAGUUUAAAUGACGUAGCAUGGUUAGUGAUGAUUCAUAUAUAUAUAUAUAUAUAUAUAUAUAUAUAUAUCUGACCUCAAUUUGUUUGAGACUGAGUCGUUUGGUUAUGUUAUUAGUCUUCUUCACUGCUAAUCCCAAUGUGCUUCUCUAUGACCCCCCCGUCUUCUGUCGAGUCUUAUGGGUAGUUAAAUGGUUCUGCAUUCCUACUGAAACACAUCACAAGUGGAUAUGGAGUAUUCCGCAAGUUGGGUGGACUAAAGGCGGAUCCAGAAUUUUAAAUUUAUGGUUUUGGUUAUAAACCUUUUUGCUUAUUGAGUUCUUAAUAGAUCUGUUAUACAUUACACAAAUACAAUGAUCGUAUUAUUUUGUUGUUGCUAAUGUUCUCUUCUACAUUCUCUUUCAACAUGGCUUCUUCGCUAUUAUAUUUGCUUUACUUGUUUGAUUUUUGAUAUGCUUUACUUGAGCCCAAGGGUUUAUCAGAAACACCUCUUUACCUUCACAAGGUAGGUGUAAGGCUACGUACACAUCACCCUCCUGAACCCCGCUUGUGGGUUAUUCUGUUAUUCUUUAGUAGGUCACAAGUUUUAUGCAGGACAUGGAUGCAAUCAAUGUUCAUACUAAGUCACAUGCGAUAAUUCAACUGCGUUUUGAGAUGUGAAAUUUGUGCAUUUUGGAUUUAGAAUCUAUCUAGGUGAAACUGUACUUACAACGACAACAACAUAUCCCGUGUAAGUCCACAAGUGGGAUCUGGGGAAGGCGAUGUGUGCACGACUUUAUUCAUCUCUACAUUAUGAAGGUAGAAAGACUGAUUUCGAAAGACUGGGUGAAACCGUACUUGGUAACUAAUGUUUGUGCUGUUUUGAGAAACUUAACAUUGAUUGAUUUUUUCCCAUCUAUCUAAGUUUUGGUUUACAAAGUUA